rnacentral:rRNA from 1 species
GGAACCACCCGAUCCCUUGCCGAACUCGGAAGUGAAAAUGCACAGCGCCGAUGGUAGUAUGGGGCUUCCCCAUGUGAGAGUAGG